rnacentral:rRNA from 1 species
AUGGACGCCAUGUCGUGCCUGGCGCCGCCGCCGCAAGCGCCGUUCCUCUCGGCGUCCUCCUCGCUCGGCCCGGCCUACUACACCGACGCCGCCCUCGCGCGCGCGCUCAACUUCUCCGCCAUGCCCGAGUACGAGUACGACUACUCGCCGGCCGCAUCCUCGCCCUCCAACUCCGCGCUCUCCUCGUCGUCCCUCCUCGCGGACUUCCCCUGCGGCACCGGCGGCAGCAACUGGUUCGCCUCCACGUCCGCGCCGCCCACGGGUUCGCUCGCCUGCGACUCCGUGCUGGUCGCGUCGGACGCGGCCCCGCGGCCGCCGUCCACCCCCGUCGCCGUGGGCGCCGCGGCGAACAAGAGGCGUGCGGGCCUGGGGCCCAACGCGGCGGGCGCGGGGCGUGCCGGGAAGCGGCGCGCGCGGGCGUCGAAGCGCGCGCCCACCACGUACAUCAGCACCGACCCCGCCAACUUCCGGCUCAUGGUGCAGCACGUUACCGGCGUCCAGUCCGAGCCGGGCACCGACGACGGCAGCGUCCUGCACGCAUCGUUCGACGCGUCCUCCGCCGCGGCGCUGCUGGACUGCCACCCGUUCGGGGACGCGCUGCGGCUGCCGUCGGACGCCGACGCGGCCGCGCUCCAUCGCCACCACCAGCAGCAGCUGGUGCAGCAGCAACAGCCGUGCUACCCGACGCUGGACUCGUGGAGCGUCAUGUACGAGAGCAGCCAGCUGCUGUAG